CCUACGGGUGGCUGCAGUAGGGAAUAUUGCUCAAUGGGGGAAACCCUGAAGCAGCAACGCCGCGUGGAGGAUGAAGGUUUUCGGAUUGUAAACUCCUUUUGUUAGAGAAGAUAAUGACGGUAUCUAACGAAUAAGCACCGUCUAACUCCGUGCCAGCAGCCGCGGUAAUACGGAGGGUGCAAGCGUUACUCGGAGUCACUGGGCAUAAAGAGCGCGUAGGCGGGAUAGCAGGUCAGAUGUGAAAUCCUAUGGCUUAACCAUAGAACUGCAUUUGAAACUGUUAUUCUAGAGUACAGUAGAGGUAGGCGGAAUUCGUGGUGUAGGGGUGAAAUGCGUAGAGAUCAAGAGGAAUACUGAUUGCGAAGGCGACUUGCUAGAACAUAACUGACGCUGAUGCGCGAAAGCGUGGGGAGCAAACAGGAUUAGAUACCCUAGUAGUC
rnacentral:rRNA from 1 species